CCCUUAGAUGUUCUGGGCCGCACGCGCGCUACACUGAUUCAUGCAACAAGUUUUGUCCUUGGCUGAUAGGCCUGGGUAAUCUUUGAACGUGAAUCGUGACGGGGAUAGAUGAUUGCAAUUAUUCAUCUUCAACGAGGAAUUCCUAGUAAACGCAAGUCAUCAGCUUGCAUUGAUUACGUCCCUGCCCUUUGUACACACCGCCCGUCGCACCUACCGAUUGAAUGGUCCGGUGAAAUCUUCGGAUCUGAGAGAUGUCUGAUUAAUUUCGGACGCCUUUUGGAAAAGUUGCUUAAACCUUACCAUUUAGAGGAAGGUGAAGUCGUAACA
rnacentral:rRNA from 1 species